rnacentral:lncRNA from 1 species
GGGUUACUCACCUGGAAAAGUUUCUUGCAGUCACUGAUCAUGUGCGACAGGCCCUGGGUGGCUGCCAUGUUGUCACUCAGGUCCCUAGGGCCUGGCCUGCCAAUGAGGCUGCGUUUGCUCUUGAUCCUAGAUGGAGCAGGAGGUGGUGAGAGGAGAGAUGGCACAAGAGCACAAGACAAGAUGGCAGACAGGCUGCCUUCUAGCUGCCAGGAAGCCACUUUGCCAAACCUGACCACAAAACAACCUGCCGCCUUUUGGAAGGCCCUGCUCCACAGCAUCCCACCAGCCCAGGGCCCCUGAGGAGUCAGGCUCACUCCUUGUGGUGAGGCUGAGACACAGCAGUGCCAGCCAUCAAAAGCCAAAAGUCCAGUGGGGCCCAAAUUGUCUGGACCCGGCCCGGCCCUGACAUGCCGUGCACCAUUUCACCUGGGAGAGGGGCUAUCCUUCUUAGAGACAUUGAGGUGGAAGAUGGAGGGCGCCAGGCACACUGCCAGGUUGCCUGCUGUCAUCUGGUUUUCCUCGGCAGAGGCAAUGUCACUUAAGAAGUAGAGCAGGGUCUGUAGCACCUCUCGGUUCUCAUCGGGGAGCAGCAAGGUGGCGGCUUGUGCUGCUGCCAACCACUGAUCCUUGGGGAGGACUGUGAGGAAGCAAUGGAAGAAGAGCCUUCCUUACUUCCCCAGAGGCCUUAGCAGCCAGCCUCCUGUUUCCAAGGGGGCAAAAGGCACAGCAGUCCCAAGGGGAGCGGUGAGAGGGAAGGGAAAAUGUCAGUUCUGUGAGGUCUCUGGGUGCUUGAUCUAGCUUUAUUACUAACAUACAGUGUAACCUUAUGUAGUUCUUCCCUCAGGGCCUCAGUCUACCCUUCCAUAUAAUGGGUUUGGGGAAGCAGAAUGGUCUCUCUGCAAGGGCCUUUCCAACUCCAGAUAGUAACUGUUCCAAUCAUCAGCUCACAGGUCCAGCUACAUUUGCCUGCACCAGGUUUAUCUUCCACAAGUUCUGGGAUUCAGGGAGGUUGAGAAUGGGGCAGGUUGUUGGGGAUAGGAGUGGGCGACUCACGCUGGUAGAUCUGGAGGAAAGUGGUGGUGAGCUUGCUGGUGAAGAUGGGCUCAGGCAGGUCCCGGAAAUACUGCUUUAGCAGGUCAGCCACGUCGUAGGCUGACUGGCCCUCAUAGCAGACAUUGUCAGGCGAGGUCUCAUUCAUUUGACGCAGGUUCUGGAUCCUGGACUUGACCCCAGACUUGCGGAAGAUGCCUACUUGGUCCAGGCACUGGCUGCGCAAGUAGCGCAUGGCUUGCUGAAUGCUCUGUGGCAGUGGCUGGCCCGUGCGCUGCACGUGGAUGAGGGGUGGCACCCCAAAUACGUGCUGUCCCCGGUAAUCUGGGGUCUUGUUCCUCCUCAUGAACUUGGGCAUUGACCUGUUUGGGAGAAUGACAAGUGAUCAGAUAGGGGGAACACAGUUUGGAGACUCUGCCUGCAGUCUCAGAGGAUCAGGUGGGGUGAGGGGGGUAAGGCACACACCACUGCCCCAGAGUCAACACUCAUUGAGCACCUGCUUUGGGCCCAGCCCCAGGGAGUCACAGAGGAACACAGAGAGCUCUCAGUCUGGCCAAGGAGAUAACUGUGUCAAUAGGCAGUAACAACUCAUGUGGCCAGUAGGAGGCCAAGAACUUAGGGGAAGACCCACUGAGGGAGGGGAACUGUACCUAGCGAGUUAGGGAAGGCUUCGGAGAGGACGUGGUAACUCAGCAGGCUCUUGAGGGAUAGGAAGGCAUUGUCCCAGAGGAGAAAUGGGGAAAAUGCAUUCCAGGCAGAGAGCACAGCACAAACAAAGGCAAAGAGGCAGGAAAAAGAUC